rnacentral:rRNA from 1 species
UACGUAGGUGGCAAGCGUUGUCCGGAUUUACUGGGCGUAAAGGGCGUGCAGGCGGUCUGUUAAGUCUAGGGUGAAAGCUCCCGGCUCAACUGGGAGAGGUCCUUGGAUACUGGCGGACUCGAGGGGGGCAGAGGAGAAUGGAAUUCCCGGUGUAGCGGUGAAAUGCGCAGAUAUCGGGAAGAACACCCGUGGCGAAGGCGGUUCUCUGGGACGGUACUGACGCUGAGGUGCGAAAGCGUGGGGAGCAAACAGG